CUACGUGCCAGCAGCCGCGGUAAUACGUAGGGUGCGAGCGUUGUCCGGAAUUACUGGGCGUAAAGAGCUCGUAGGUGGUUUGUUGCGUCGUCUGUGAAAUUCCGGGGCUUAACUUCGGGGUGGCAGGCGAUACGGGCAUAACUAGAGUGCUGUAGGGGAGACUGGAAUUCCUGGUGUAGCGGUGGAAUGCGCAGAUAUCAGGAGGAACACCGAUGGCGAAGGCAGGUCUCUGGGCAGUAACUGACGCUGAGGAGCGAAAGCAUGGGGAGCGAACAGGAUUAGAUACCCUGGUAGUCCAUGCUGUAAACGGUGGGCGUUAGGUGUGGGGACUUUAUUUGGUUUCUGUGCCGUAGCUAACGCAUUAAGCGCCCCGCCUGGGGAGUACGGCCGCAAGGCUAAAACUCAAAGGAAUUGACGGGGGCCCGCACAAGCGGCGGAGCAUGUGGAUUAAUUCGAUGCAACGCGAAGAACCUUACCUGGGUUUGACAUGCACCAGACGGUUGUAGAGAUACGUA
rnacentral:rRNA from 1 species